rnacentral:rRNA from 1 species
AGGACGAACGCUGGCGGCGUGCUUAACACAUGCAAGUCGAGCGGAAAGGCCCUUCGGGGUACUCGAGCGGCGAACGGGUGAGUAACACGUGAGCAACCUGCCCUUAGCUCCGGGAUAGCUCCGGGAAACCGGAAUUAAUACCGGAUACGACCACGGCCGACAUCUGCUGUGGUGGAAAGGAUUCCGGCUAAGGAUGGGCUCGCGGCCUAUCAGCUAGUUGGCGGAGUAACGGCCCACCAAGGCGACGACGGGUAGCCGGCCUGAGAGGGCGACCGGCCACACUGGGACUGGGACACGGCCCAGACUCCUACGGGAGGCAGCAGUGGGAAUAUUGCGCAAUGGGCGAAAGCCUGACGCAGCGACGCCGCGUGGGGAUGAAGGCCUUCGGGUUGUAAACCCUUUCAGCAGGGACGAAGCGAAAGUGACGGUACCUGCAGAAGAAGCGCCGGCUAACUACGCGCCAGCAGCCGC